rnacentral:lncRNA from 1 species
AAUUAUUAUUUUCAAGUAAUUUUAAAUUAAAUAAAUAAAAGCAAACCAAAGAAUUCUGAAAAUUUAAUGAUGACAUUUACUAAAUGCUAUUUCUUAAGUAUAUAAUGACAAGAAGAGAAUAUUGUAUUGUUAAGUGCUUAUCUAAGGCUAAAUGCUAUUUCUUAAGUAUGUGUUAAUAAAAAUACAAAGCAGCGAGCAAGAAGGGAACAAAUGGGCAAAGGAAAUCUAAAAACAAAUGAACAAAUUAAAUCAUAAGCCUAUAAAGUUGUAGUAUUUUAAGUUAAUAACAACAUUCAAACUACCCUUGAAUAAAAAUUCUUGAUACCUUUGAUAAAAAAAAAAAAAAGCAACAUUUGACAUAUUCUUCUCCAACAACUAUUCCACUUGGUUUUUUAACUUUCGAAAAAAGUUCUAAUAAGACCAUCAAAUUGGUAGAUAACAACUCAAUAACCCUUGCAAAGGAAUAAUCUUAGAACAUUUAAACAGAUUUAGUAACAUUAAAAAUGAGAGACAUUAAUACCAUGGCUUGAUACUAAGCUUUCAUCCACGUUCAUUGCAUAAAACGUUAACAUACUUCUUGUGUGCCUGAAGUUGUGCCUUACUUCAUCUUGGUUUAAAUAUACCAAAACAAUCAAACCGCACAAUAGAAUAACUACACCUACUGCCUCCAAGGUGAAAUGAAAAAAGCUGGUACAACCAACACAAUGAUUAAAUGCAUAAGAAUUUUUAAUUGCAUACUAUAACAGAUCUUAUUUAAGAAUUCAUUGCAAAUAAAUAGUUUAAAUCUUGUAUAUUAGAGGGAAUGUACAGAUAGUUCAUAUCAAACAAUCUAACAUUGUGAUUAUAUAAAGAGAAAAUAAUAAAAAUUUAUACCUUUUCAGCCUCAAGCUCUUUCCUCAAGCCUUUCAUUGCAUGUUUAAGUUCUUCCACUUUUUGCUCAAACACACAAUUGCACAUUAAAUGUCAGAUUCAGAAUCGAUUUGUAUGUGCUUGUCUACAUAAACAAGCACAAAAAGACAUGCUUAUGUUUCUUGCAUUUGUUGUUGUUUGUUACGCUUUACAAAAUUGAGUUUCUAGUUGGCAAACUUUAUUAUUAUAGGUCCUUUCAGAAUUUAGAUGAAAUACUGGUAUCAUGUGUUUAAAUUUCAAAAUAAGAUGGCAAUGCAGAUGUUACCACAUGGAUGUAAUAAUUGUGGCAUCCAUUUGGAAUGGGUUAAUUAAUAUGGUUCUUAAUCAAGAUUUCAAAGGGUUCUAAAAUUAGAUUCAUUUUGCACAAAAAGCUAGAUCAUUUCAUUUGUUCUCAAUAAUCAAACCAAUUACCCAAAGAAACCCAAAUCAGGAAAAUACUUUCCCUUCCCUUGAAAAAAAAAAUCAACAAAUUCAAUUAAUAAGUACACAGAAAAUAAAAAUGAAUAUUUUCAUUUUAAAUUAAACAUCUCCCAACACCAGAUUUCAAGGAGCAUUCAGAAAGAGAGUACUUGAGAGAAAAUUGAUGCUGCUUCUAUGAAAACCGCCUACCAAAUGAGAAGAAGGAAAUGGGGACGGAGGAGAUGUUACUCAAAAAACCAUUAAACUAAUUGAGUGGGAAGAGAGAAAGAGGAAGUACCGACAGAGGAGAGAGAGUCCGACGCGACAGGGGAAGAGAUAGAAGCUGACCGACAGGCAAAAGAGAAGAACCAACUCAGAGAAAUAAGGAAAAGUCAAA